CAGCCGCCGCGGGAAUACGAAGGGGGCUAGCGUUGCUCGGAAUUACUGGGCGUAAAGGGAGCGUAGGCGGACAUUUAAGUCAGGGGUGAAAUCCCAGAGCUCAACUCUGGAACUGCCUUUGAUACUGGGUGUCUUGAGUGUGAUAGAGGUAUGUGGAACUCCGAGUGUAGAGGUGAAAUUCGUAGAUAUUCGGAAGAACACCAGUGGCGAAGGCGACAUACUGGAUCAUUACUGACGCUGAGGCUCGAAAGCGUGGGGAGCAAACAGGAUUAGAUACCCCAGUAGUCCCUGUCUCUUAUAC
rnacentral:rRNA from 1 species